rnacentral:lncRNA from 1 species
GGACACGAUUUGUUUUUCGUUUCUUGUUUUGUUCUUAUAUCAGGUCGUUAGUUUUCUCGUUUGAUUUUAUUUUUUACAUUUUUCAUUUUGGGGCCUUUUAUAGCUUACUAUGCGUUAUGGAUUUUUCUCAUUGUUAUAGGCCGUACGAUGGCCUAUAGUUGUUAACUUAUAUGUAAUUUGGUCUCUAGUAGAUAGUUGUCUAAUUGGCAAUCAGUAAUGUUCAAGUUUUACAUGUAAUAAGUUAAAGCCCUUUCUACAUAAGAAAAUGCCUGUACAUAGUCAGGAAUAUGACAGUUGUUAUCCAUUCGUUUGAUGUGUUUGGGCUUAUGAUUUUGCCAUUUGAUUAGGGACUUUCUUUUUUUAAUUUUCCUCGGAGUUCAGUAUUUAAAUGUGAUUUUACUUUUUUCAAUAGCUUCAAAAUUUGGUGAUAAAGUGUCGGAAAUUGAACAUGGUGAGAUCAUCCCUAUUCAAUAGUACCGCAUUCCACUUUCAAUGUAACCAACUCCUGCAGUUUGAGAAUUUAUUGUACAUGUUGACUUUGCAAUUGUUUGUGCCUCUGAACUCAUAAUUGUGGC